AGGGGUUUAGGAUAGUUUAGACCAAGAGCCUUCAAAGCUCUAAGUAGAAGUUAAAAUCUUCUAAUCCCUG
rnacentral:tRNA from 1 species